AGUUUUCAGUUUACAAAUUAUUAUGCAUCAAUUUCGGCUAAAUACUGUACUUAUCUGAAUAGAAAUUGUUAGACAAACGGCGUUUUUAAUUUCUGCAAAUCGCUUGAGGGGUCGGCCGUCGGGCGGACGACACACAUAUAACAAUAAAAUAUAGUACAAUAUCCCGGUAGGACGCUUGUAGAAAUUUAGCUUAAUUGCACAAUAUUGCGUUGUUUAUUACAAUUUUGUAAUUGUAUUAAAAAACGUUACCACUACUGAGCUACGGACAUUUCACACGAUUAGAUUUUCUCGAAUUUUGUGUGACCAAGAAAUGGUAAAAUGAUAGUGUGAUUACCAAUCGAUACUAUAGUUGAGCUAAAUAAUAAUUUUCAACAGUUUCUAAUUCAAAAGAUGUAAUGAAAAUAUCAACCAGUGGCGAAAGUAUUAAUUUUGAUAAUAGAAAGUGGGUAGUUGUACGCAACAAAUAAAAAAAGCACUGUACAGCACAGACUCAGCAGGCAUUGAAGACAUCUGAGGAUCAAGUGUAGCAUACUAUAGGUUUUUGUUGUCAUUAUUUUGUAAAGAGAGAGAAAAAUUGGUGUUCGUCCUGAGAUAAAGUUUAAAAAAUGUGAUUUAUUUUGUGACAUUGUUCAACACCUGAAUCUGAACACCACACCUUUUUCUGUGAUAUUUUGGUACAUGCAAGUGAAGUUUUUUGAAUUAUUUACACAAAACGAAAAUUAAGAAAAUGUCAAGCAAUCCUCAGUGGAAAAUAUUCCAACCGUCAGAUUCACCGUUACGUGACAUACUAGAUAUUCAACACGCCACCAUGCAAGCGAAACAGGCGUACAGGAACGGAACUUACAGCAGCGAGUUUCCUAGUUCUCCUCGCGACAACUAUAGCAAUACGGGAAAGUCUGGUGGAGGCAGUCGAUUUUCCAUGAGCACAUACAACAUGGACACAUGCCCUAUUGGAGACUCGGUUGGGACAUUCUCAUCUAGUUCAACCAACUCUCAACCUUUAUAUGAUUCAAUGAACCACCCACCUAUUAGAGAAACUGGAAUCAUCGAGAAAUUACUUCAUUCUUACGGGUUUAUACAAUGUUGUGAGAGGCAGGCUCGUCUGUUCUUUCACUUUAGUCAGUUUGGGGGGAACAUUGAUCAUCUGAAGAUCGGUGACCCGGUGGAAUUUGAGAUGACAUAUGACCGGAGGACUGGUAAACCGAUAGCAUCCACGGUGACCAAGAUUGCCCCUGAGGUGGUGUUGAGCGAGGCCAGGGUGACUGGGGUGGUAACUACCGAGGUGAAAGGGGAAGGCUCGGGAGACAGCACCGGACGGAUCUCCUACGAGAAUCGUGGUGAAUGUUUCUUCUUGCCGUACACUAAAGACGAUGUUGAAGGCAAUGUGACUUUACACACUGGAGACGCUGUUAGCUUUCAGAUCGCAACUAACCAAAGAGGUACAUUAGGCGCUUGUCACGUGCGUUUCGAGAAUCCCGCACACCCAGUGAAGUAUCACGGAGUAGUGUGCUCCAAGAAGGAGAAUUUUGGCUUUAUAGAACGUGCCGAUGUGGUCAAGGAGAUCUUCUUUCAUUACUCCGAGGCCAAAGUCAAAGAGGAACUGUCUUUGGGUGACGACGUCGAGUUCAUCAUACAAACUAGAAAUGGCAAGGAGGUAGCUUGCAACAUAACCAAGCUGCCAAGCGGAUCUGUGGUAUUCGAGGAUGUGAGCCCCGAGCUGUGGAGGGGGCAGGUUCUGAAGCCACUGGAACGAGGCUCCGCUAGGGCCCAGAGUGACCCGCUGCCCGGACGCAUACGAUACAGAGCGGUCGAUCAUUCUGAAGUUGAGGUGCCGUUCGGUGAUAAGGACCAGUGCGGCGAGUUCACUCUGCGCCACGGCGACUGGGUCCAGUUCCAAGUGGCGACCGAUCGCCGCGACCAGCUGAAACGCGCGACCAACAUCUUCCUUUUGGAUGAGUCAUUCAACGUGUCCGGAGAACGGCGCGAGCAAGGCGUAGUGUGUUCCCUACGCGACGGUUUCGGCUUCAUCCGCUGCGUGGAACGAGAGCAGACCAUGUUUUUCCAUUUCGCCGAAGUCCUGCGCUUGGGGAAGAAACUGAGUGUUGGGGAUGAGGUGGAAUUCACUGUCGAGCCAGCGGCUACCUUCAGUAACACCAGACAAGCGGCCACUCGAAUCCAACACUUGACUCCGGGCACUGUCCAGUUCGAGACGCUCAUAGAACGAGGCAUAAGGGGCGUCAUAGCGGCCGUUGGCGACAACCCUACUGUUAAUACAACUAUCAAUAACGCGAAGAAAACUAUACCGAUGAAGAAAUGCGAGAAAACUCAGUAUAGGGUUGGCGACAAGGUCGUUUUUGACUUGUAUCAGGUGAAACGUACCAAGGAGCCGAUAGCAUGUUCGGUCCAGCUACAAAACGCAACAACGAAUGGCGCGGGUCCGGGGCGCGCGCGCGGAUUCAUCGCCGCGCUGAAAGAGAGCUUCGGGUUUAUAGAGACGGCCGAUCACUCUAAGGAAGUCUUCUUUCACUUCAGCAAUCUGGAGGGUAGUCCUGAAAGUCUGGAGAUUGGAGGCGAAGUUGAAUACACUGUUGGUCGCGGCGGCGGCGGCGGGUGCGCCAGCGCAGAAGCGGUCAGGCCCCUAGCCCGCGGCACCGUACCUCUUGCGGCGCCCCGGGACCCACAACUGACAGGCGUAGUCACUAGACCUCUUCGCGCUUUGAACCCGGAUCAGCAGCAGUAUAGCGGCCUAAUACAAGUGGAAGGCGGUCCGUCGUACGAGUUCGGCAUAAUGGGUCUAGCUUGCAAGCGCGAGAUACUUCAAGCUGGAGACCCGGUCACCUUCCAAGCUGAUGAAGAGGGCCGCGCUACCAACAUCGUGCCAGUGCGCAAGAAGCGACGCGCAACCGUCGACGCUAUUAAAGGUUGUUUCGGCUUCCUAUCAACUGAGUGCGAGGACAGUCGGCGGCUGUUCUUCCACAUGUCGGAGGUGCGGAGCGGCGAGCUCGCGCCCGGCGACACUGUGGAGUUCGUGAUGCUCACGAACCCUCGCAACGGCAAGUGCUCCGCCUGCAACGUCGUCAAGAUCAGUAGCGGCAGUGCCAAAGGCAAGGCGCGGCCGGAGCGCCUGCUAGCGAGACUUCGCCUCGCCUCGCUGGAGGAGUCCGGAGCUCCCCGCGUGGUGGUGCUGCGGGCGCCCCGCGGCCCCGACGGCUCCCGGGGAUUCCGCCCCCGGCGCCCCCUAGCGGAGCAGCUGGAGUAAACACCCGAUUAAGCCGCUCUUAUACUCAUAUUAUCUUCCCGCGAGCGGACUUUUCAAUCGCCAUAUAACUCUCACCUAAAGGUAUAUAUGACAAUGAAGCGAUUCUUCUCGAAACAUCCCUCAGAUACUUAUUUAUAUUUUAUAUAGUUACUGACGAUUGGAAAAUCAGCCCCAACAAAGAUAUAUAAGCAGCCCAUUUAAGGUACUUUCUUCGUGUGUCACGGUCUUGUCUAGCCAGACAGAUAGCCUUGUUUAUCGCCGUGUAAAUAUUUUUAUUAGUAGAGGGUUACUCAAUAACAAUCUUGGCUAAAACUGAGUCUUCACUAGUUCGAUAUCGAGAUCCCUUAAGUCACGGUUGACAGCAGCUACAGUUAACUCUAGUAACAGCUUUACAGCACAGUUGGUGCAGAAUUUGGUUGACUUUCGCAUGCCAACACUGUAAGAGCGGUUUUUUAUGAUGGGCCUAGGUCAGAUGUGGUGAGAGAUCUGACGUUGAUAAAGCUUAUCUUGUGUGACUAUGGAUUGCAAUCCUAUAAUAAUAGUAUUUUAAAAAGAUAAAUACUAUUUCAAAAUUGUACGUUAU